rnacentral:rRNA from 1 species
AUUGAACGCUGGCGGCAGGCCUAACACAUGCAAGUCGAACGGAGCGGCGGACGGGUGAGUCAUGUCUGGGAAACUGCCUGAUGGAGGGGGAUAACUACUGGAACCGGUAGCUAAUACCGCAUACUAUCAGAUGAGCCCAGCUCGGAUUAGCUAGUUGGUGGGGUAAAGGCCGACAAAGGCGACGAGCCGUAACUGGUCUGAGAGGAUGAUCAGGCACACUGGAACUGAGACACGGUCCAGACUCCUACGUGAGGCAGCAGUGGGGAAUAUGGGACAAUGGGCGAAAGCCUGAGCCAGCCAUGCCGCGUGUGUGAAGAAGGUCUUCGGAUUGUAAAGCACUUUAAGUUGGGAGGCGUUACCAACAGAAUAAGCACCGGCUAACUUCGUGCCAGCAGCCGCGUUAAUUC